rnacentral:rRNA from 1 species
AGUCGGACGGCAGCACAGAGAAGCUUGCUUCUUGGGUGGCGAGUGGCGAACGGGUGAGUAACAUAUCGGAACGUACCGGGCAGUGGGGGAUAACUAAUCGAAAGAUUAGCUAAUACCGCAUAUCUUCUGAGGAAGAAAGCAGGGGACCAUUUGGCCUUGCGCUGUUUGAGCGGCCGAUAUCUGAUUAGCUAGUUGGUGGGGUAAAGGCCUACCAAGGCGACGAUCAGUAGCGGGUCUGAGAGGAUGAUCCGCCACACUGGGACUGAGACACGGCCCAGACUCCUACGGGAGGCAGCAGUGGGGAAUUUUGGACAAUGGGCGCAAGCCUGAUCCAGCCAUGCCGCGUGUCUGAAGAAGGCCUUCGGGUUGUAAAGGACUUUUGUCAGGGAAGAAAAGGGCGGGGUUAAUACCCCUGUCUGAUGACGGUACCUGAAGAAUAAGCACCGGCUAACUACGUGCCAGCAGCCGCGGUAAUACGUAGGGUGCGAGCGUUAAUCGGAAUUACUGGGCGUAAAGCGGGCGCAGACGGUUACUUAAGCAGGAUGUGAAAUCCCCGGGCUCAACCUGGGAACUGCGUUCUGAACUGGGUGACUAGAGUGUGUCAGAGGGAGGUAGAAUUCCACGUGUAGCAGUGAAAUGCGUAGAGAUGUGGAGGAAUACCGAUGGCGAAGGCAGCCUCCUGGGAUAACACUGACGUUCAUGCCCGAAAGCGUGGGUAGCAAACAGGAUUAGAUACCCUGGUAGUCCACGCCCUAAACGAUGUCGAUUAGCUGUUGGGCAGCAUGACUGCUUAGUAGCGAAGCUAACGCGUGAAAUCGACCGCCUGGGGAGUACGGUCGCAAG